rnacentral:lncRNA from 1 species
GUGACGAGGCUACCCUAGGCCAUAGGGGCACGCCCCGCGAUACGCGACAGGGGGGGGGGGAGGAUCCCUCCGCGACUCGCGGGCGGCUCAAAUUUUGGGUAUAAAUGCAGGGGCUUGGGGCCUGAACUAUUUGCUCAGUUCGACGGUCUAAAAUGUCGUCCUACUCUUUGUAUCUCCGUUUCUUUCUAUCAACGCCCUAAAACCCCGAAACUCUGCUUGUUAUUAGGGUAAUAACUCUAAUCGCUGCUACGAUUCAAUCUCCGAUCGACUGAAACUAUCCGACGGGAUGUUUAAGUGCUAUCCUUUGUCAUUAGUCGUGAUUCCGACAGGAUGUUUAAGUACCACCCGAACUCGGGGAAUACUCUGUCAUUCGUUGUGAAUCCGAUAGAUGUUUAAGUGAUUACACUUUGUCAUUCAUUGUGAGGGUUUUAUUUCAUGAUUAUCGUUAAAGUUGAAUUGAGUUAAUACACUAAUACGAGUUCCCUUGUAUCUAGAAAUUAGAACUCGUAAGCAGGAAGCUGCUAGAAUACUUAAAAGCUAAGUAAACUUAAUAAGUUAAAUAAACUUAGCAGUUAAGUUAGCUGAGUAGAUUAAUUAAUCUGUUAAUUAAGUUAAGUAUGAUUAAUUAAUCAGUUAAUCAAAAUUAAUUAAGUUAAUCCAGAUUAAUUAAGUUAAGCAAGAUCAAUUAAGUUAAGCAAGAUCAAUUAAGCUUAAUUAAGUAAAUUAAAUAUAAAAUAGAUAAUAUCAAAGGAAGGUUCAAGGAAGCUAUAAGAAGAUAUAUAUAUGUGGUAGGAAGCUUCCUAGAAGAUGUAUAGGUAACUUCCUAGAAAAGAUAUAGGUAAUUUCCUAGAAACACAAAGGAAACUUCCUAGAAUUUUCAUACUUCUUACCUAUAAAUAGGAAGCUUAGGAAUUCAUUUCCUUUGUUCAUUUCUUCUAUUCUUUUCUCUCUAUACGUUGGUGUUUCAACCAAUAAUCACCAAAGCGAUAUUCUGUCCGAUCGAUUUAGGAACCAACUAACGAAUGCCAAAGUGUUGUACUUUGUGAAUUUCGGUAAACGGAAUCCAAAGUGCUAUACUUUGUGAGUUCAAGAAAUGGAUGCCAAAGUACUGUCUGAAUAAGACUAUACUUUGUGAAAUUCGUUAAGGUUCGAAUCUCGUGAUCAUCGUUAGGUUUGAUAUGGUUUUACACAAAUACGUAUUCCAUUCUGUUAAACUAUAUGUUUAACUACCAGAAUACUCCCAACCACACACUUACAAUCAAACAAGCUGUUAAGUCAUCAGAAGAUUCAAAUCAAUAAAGUAUAUGCUUAAUUAUCAGAAGGAGUAGAAUCAAGAAGCUUGUUAAAUCAAUACUGCAUGCUUAUACUGGAUUAA